GACGAACCGUGCGAACGUUGUUCGGAAUCACUGGGCUUAAAGGGCGCGUAGGCGGUUUGGCAAGUCCGGGGUGAAAUCCUCCAGCUUAACUGGAGAACUGCCUCGGAUACUGGAAGUCUCGAGGAGGGUAGGGGCAAGUGGAACCGUGGGUGGAGCGGUGAAAUGCGUUGAUAUCCAUGGGAACUCCGGUGGCGAAGGCGACUUGCUGGACCCUUUCUGACGCUGAGGCUCGAAAGCCAGGGGAGCAAACGGG
rnacentral:rRNA from 1 species